AAUUCUCAACCUUGCAAGCUUUUUUGCUAGCGAGGCUUGGAUGUGAGGGCUUUUGCUGGCUUCCUUUAUUGGAUGGUCUGCUCCCUUUAAAUUCAUUAGUGGGAUCCUUUGUGGAUGGUCACUUGGUGUGAUAAUUAUCUACGCCGCCUGACUCUGAAACAAGACUUGUGGGGACCUGCUCAUAACCGUCUCUUCAAGGGACAAUUUAUAUUGACA
rnacentral:misc_RNA from 1 species